GCCCAAAGAAUGAAUUUUCAAUUUUGCCCGAACGGCACUCCCUUCCCCGUUUAAUGUUUCUCUCCCUUUCUCGAUCCUCCUCCAUCUAUUCUCUGCUGUUGCUUUUAUUUCCAAUUCAAUCACACUUCCUCCAUUUUUGCAAUCUCUCUCUCUCUCUCUCUCUCUCUCUCUCUCUCUCUCCACCCAAUCUCUUUUUCAUUUUCAAUUCGAAUUCCACCAAUUCACAAAUAAAUUGAAUCAUCGAAUCCGAUAAGCACGGGCGAGCGGCUCAGUAUCGGGCCUCUAGAGCUCAGUUUCUCCUCAAAUAGUGAAGACCACGGCAGCCGGAAGCUGGAGCUGCUGGGCUUGGAGGGAAAGUGACAAACAAGGAGGUCAAGAGCUUGAACAAAUGGUCAGAGCUGUUUCUUGCUUUUUGCUUUUCAAUUUGUUAGGUGCUUCAUUUGGCACCUCCUUUUUAAUAUGAGGGAUGAGUUUUUAUUAUCUAAUUAUCUCUUAAAAUUUCUUUUAGUUACUUUUCUAGUACAUAUACAUCUUAAAUAGUUUAUCACAAUCAUCCAAUUCCCAUAUGGUUUGACCUC